rnacentral:rRNA from 1 species
CGCUGGCGGCAUGCUUUACACAUGCAAGUCGAACGGCAGCGCGGACUUCGGUCUGGCGGCGAGUGGCGAACGGGUGAGUAAUAUAUCGGAACGUACCCAAGAGUGGGGGAUAACGUAGCGAAAGUUACGCUAAUACCGCAUACGAUCUAAGGAUGAAAGUGGGGGAUCGCAAGACCUCAUGCUCCUGGAGCGGCCGAUAUCUGAUUAGCUAGUUGGUGAGGUAAGGGCUCACCAAGGCCACGAUCAGUAGCUGGUCUGAGAGGACGACCAGCCACACUGGAACUGAGACACGGUCCAGACUCCUACGGGAGGCAGCAGUGGGGAAUUUUGGACAAUGGGCGCAAGCCUGAUCCAGCAAUGCCGCGUGAGUGAAGAAGGCCUUCGGGUUGUAAAGCUCUUUUGUCAGGGAAGAAACGGUAGAGGCUAAUAUCCUUUGCUAAUGACGGUACCUGAAGAAUAAGCACCGGCU